GGGAAUUUCAUAAAAGCUCUUCUUCCACAGAUCCUGAUUUUUAAAACCAGGACUGUUACUUGGGCAUUGGCAUUAUUUUCUUGGACUCACCACUGAUUCCAGUGACCUGGCAGCUUGAGUGUCAGCAUCAUAGGAAUUGAUAACACAGACUCUGAGCUCAUAAUCCUGGCUACUCUGUUGGGUAAAUGGAGAAAGCAACUAAAAAUCUUGAUGCCUCGUGUUUUCCAUGGUGAAGGGAGUACCUGCAUCUUGGGUGGCGUGAGGAUUCAUGAGGUAGUUUCUCUAAAGCACAUGGCUUGGCUCUUUUCACCACUUUUUCUGAUUCCUUUUUUGCCCCUGUGCCCUCUAACUCCUUGUUACAGGUCUUUGGCAAGCGCCUGUCUUUGAGGGCAGACACAACUCAGUCAUCCUCCAGGGCUGAGAUCAGGCCUCCUUUUCUCUACUGAGCCCAUCCCUCCCUUUCCCUCCCGAAGUCUAGGUUUUGGGGCCCCUUCCAUGUUCUAAAAGGACACCACACAGCCUGUCUUUUAUCUAGGAACUGUAUCACUUUUCAAAGGUGAAUACUGGACAUGUUAAAAAAAAACUCAAUUCUUUCAUUGCUGGUUGCACAGCCAGAUUAAUACUCGUCCUAGGUAGUUGUGUGUGCGUUCUGUGGACUCUACAGCAAUGGCCUUGUAGGCAGGGACUCCCAAGGAGGUAGGUUACACCAUCUAACUGAGCUGGUGACCUAUGCUGGGUUCACAAACUCUGACUACUUCAAUAACCACACAACACACAGAAGUACCUUUUCAAAAUCCCAGGAUGGUCCUUUCCAUUGGAAAGAGAGAGAGCGCCACUGGAAUUCUUUAUUCUUAUAUAGGGGACACACUAGGGGAGGUUCCAUGGAACAUUCUAUCCAUAACAGGUCAGGGGUAGUAUCACAAAGGAACAAGAAGGCAGCCCACUCCGUUGGGUAACACCCACUCCAAAGCUUUGCUCCUCUGCCGAGUGGAGAUGGGGAUCCACCUUCUUCCUGGUCAGGGAAGCCAGUCUCCACAUUUCCAUUGCUCAAAGCUGGUGGGUGCUCAGCUCCUAUGUGGCAGCUCCUGACAGGUAGGACCCUACUGAAGUGCCUCCCUCCAGGUGGUACUAACAGGCUCUGCCUUACACAGUCC
rnacentral:lncRNA from 1 species